rnacentral:rRNA from 1 species
GAUGAACGCUGGCGGCGUGCCUAAUACAUGCAAGUCGAGCGAACGGACGAGAAGCUUGCUUCUCUGAUGUUAGCGGCGGACGGGUGAGUAACACGUGGAUAACCUACCUAUAAGACUGGGAUAACUUCGGGAAACCGGAGCUAAUACCGGAUGAUAUUUUGAACCGCAUGGUUCAAAAGUGAAAGACGGUCUUGCUGUCACUUAUAGAUGGAUCCGCGCUGCAUUAGCUAGUUGGUAAGGUAACGGCUUACCAAGGCAACGAUGCAUAGCCGACCUGAGAGGGUGAUCGGCCACACUGAAACUGAGACACGGUCCAGACUCCUACGGGAGGCAGCAGUAGGGAAUCUUCCGCAAUGGGCGAAAGCCUGACGGAGCAACGCCGCGUGAGUGAUGAAGGGCUUCGGAUCGUAAAACUCUGUUAUUAGGGAAGAACAUAUGUGUAAGUAACUGUGCACAUCUGGACGGUACCUAAUCAGAAAGCCACGGCUAACUACGU